UGGAAGGGCCAUCGCUCAACGGAUAAAAGGUACUCCGGGGAUAACAGGCUGAUACCGCCCAAGAGUUCAUAUCGACGGCGGUGUUUGGCACCUCGAUGUCGGCUCAUCACAUCCUGGGGCUGAAGUAGGUCCCAAGGGUAUGGCUGUUCGCCAUUUAAAGUGGUACGCGAGCUGGGUUUAGAACGUCGUGAGACAGUUCGGUCCCUA
rnacentral:rRNA from 1 species